GGUGCUGGGGCGCGGUGGGGAGAGGAGAAGGAGGGUGGAGUGGAGAUAGAAAGAGAGAGAGAGGAGAAGUUUGGGAUUGGGAUCGGUGGUCGGAGGCGAGGGACGGCGCGGCAGCGCAGCAGAGGAGGAGGGGCGGGAGAGCCAGGAGUCGUCCUCCUCGUGCCGAGCGGCGGCGUCGACGAGGACGAGUUCCUGCUCCACUACUUCUAGUGGGGGCACGUCUUCGUCUGCGCGCAGCCGGUCGCGUGGGCGAAGUUCUGAAAGCAGCCGCCGCCGCUGCCGUUGCCGGUGCAGCUGGAGUUGCAGUUCACGCGGUUCCUCCGCCGGUGCCGGUAGGCGCCGCGGUAGUAGGUGCGGUUCGGGCGACCCCCAGACCUUAGCACCGGCGGGCGCAGGGGUUCUUCCACGACGUCAAGCAGCCGUAGCUACUACAGAAGUGAAGGAGAGCACCUAGGUGGUUCUGGCAGCGGUACCACGAGGUGAUACGGAGCCCCUAACGGCUGCGCGUGCAACCGGAAGGCACGCGCCGCGGCAACAGCGGCACGGCGGGAUAAAGCCGGUCCGGCUCGCGGUCCGGGAGUGCGUUCGCAGGGUCGAGCGGCCCAAGUUGCAGGACCGCGAGCAGUUGCUUGUGCGGGCCCGGCGCGUCGUCAAGCAGGAUGUCGCGGUUCCUCAAGCCCUUCUACCACAGACAGUUGGUCAAGGUCCAAUUCCUACAGUCUACCUUGAGGUUUGACCCUCCGGAACUUUACCUUUACACAAACCAUUUAAUAAGGCAUCUAGUUAAAUUAUUCGUCUGUAGGCAGUCAGAGGAUUUCGUUACCGAUUCAACUUCUUCGUUCAGUUCGCGUGGUUUCUUUAAGACUCGCGUAUAUGGGGAGGAGGUUAGAGUCAACUUAGAGAUAUAUUACUAUAGCUAAAGUCCUCGUGGUAUUGUGCACUUGUUAAACUUCUCGAAACACGUCUAAAUACCCUCGUCCGAGACAGAGGUUAGUUUCUACACGAAUGCGUUAGUCCGUACUUUUAACCACUGCAUAUACGACAUCUCGAUUAACCACCUCGAUGGUCCCAUGGCUUUGACGUCCGAUUCGACGUCCUUAAGGACCCUACCUCACUCGAUCUAUUCGUGGAACUACAACUACUUCGUUAACAAGAACCGCGGAGUGAUGUACGACGAUUAGAUUCACUACCCUAAUUCAACUCGACGUUCAACCCCUACUAACUGCCAAGAUGAAUACCAAAGCACAAACUUUAUCUACCGGGUCUAAUACAGUUUCUACUUUCAUGACUAGUUCAUGACCAAGGUUCCUACUUUUUCUACGGUUACUUCCCUACCCAAUCCCAAACGACAACCUAGGUUGUAAAAAAACAACUACCAACAGCAGACGAGUACGAGAACUGACAGCCUGACGACCCUAGACAGCAACAACACCAACAGAGCUAUCAAUACUAAAAACAGAUGUCAGGAUAAUGUCCACGGACUACGUUUGAUGCGUGUGAUGUGCUCGAUGUUGGGUGCAUACCCACGUUGACACCAAAAGACAGGCAGGGAUAACGUGAUGGUAUAACAAAACCUAAAGCCGGACCGUGGGACCGUGACGUGGGACAACGUUAUGUUUGUUUAUACACAUGUUAAACAUCAGUAAAGUACCGUCAAUUACGUCUUUUAAGGACGAGGGGCCCUCCACUAAUGACAGCUAACACGAACAUAAAACCGAUACUGUUGGUGGUAGUUGAAAGCCCAUAUCUUGGGAUGGGGUGUGUCUUCUCCUCAGGAACAUAGUCCCGCUCUUCGUAGUAGAAUACGUCCCACAGUUGGUCGAUUUUCGUAGAGACUGUCCUGUAAUGGGACAGGGACCGGUUGUAACUACGCCAAGAAAGGAUAAUUAGUACACACUAAUAUAACUAGCUCAAUAAAUUUGCUAAGUAUACUUAUUACUAAAAGAAACGUAGUAACAGUAUAGUACAACAACUUCCCCUCGGAACCGCGUCACCAUUUCGACGACGGAACACUGGUACUCCAGUACCCAAGUUCAGGACCUUUGUCGGAGAAUGUCUUUACAUCCCUUUCCGACGCAUGAUAUCUGGGUUUCACCAGCCUGGGAAGGGACCUGGGACGCGUUCGCCCUCGAUGUACGUGGUCUACGUUUUACCUCGGCCGCUGGUCGGGAAGAAGGAGUGGGAGUCGGAACUUUGGUGACAACUGCGGAGGUUCUCGUCAGCCCGUAGCCGCAGCUGCGGCCAUUCCGUUGUACGCAACGUUGUACGUUGGUUUAGUUUACCUCACACCUGUUUCAAUAUAUACCUGUUUCAAUAUAUAGUUCGUUUAACCUACUUCAAAAGAACGUCUUUGACGGUGGCAGUCAGUAAUGGUACCUUAAUAAGCUGGAAGUUUUCUUCUGUGGUUAUAGACCUACUGCUUUCGGUACCCUCCACCUGGACUGCUCGUCUGUCUUCGUUAAAAAAACUUUGUGUAGUAUGCCUCUUGUGUAUUUUAAAUGCUGUACUGUACGAGAUCUACUAUUUUUUAUUGUACGGUACGAUUAAAUACUUGAUAUUUUAACAGUACCGACACUUUAUCUGAAUGGUCUCCUCAUCUAUAUCUCUUGUGGUAAUAGAAAAAGUAUUUAACUGUACGAUCGAUGAUACCGGUACGAGAUUUUUUGUACAUUACCCCUGUACGAUCGAAGGAUCCUUAUCUUUAUUUUAAUGGUACCCAUGUACAGUUUAUAUGUAACUAUGUUUUACCUGUAUACUGAUCUGAACAAC
rnacentral:rRNA from 1 species